rfam:Brachypodium distachyon strain Bd21 chromosome 2, whole genome shotgun sequence.
AAUGUACUCCCUCCGUCUAACAAAAAAUGUCUCAAGUUUGUCAAAAAUUGGAUGUACCUAGACAAACUCUAGACAAACUUAGAAUAUAAAAAUGCAUUCAAAUUUAAUCAAAAUUGAGACAUCAUUUGUUGGGCGGAGGAAGUAAAAG